CCGAGUUCAUGCCCUCACGGGUAGAUCUCCCACCCUAUGUUAUUAUUACCUCUGUUGCUUUGGCGGGCCGUCAGGCUUCGGUCAGGCUACCGGCUCCGGCUGGUAUGCGCCCGCCAGAGGACCCCAAACUCUGAAUGUUAGUGUCGUCUGAGUACUAUAUAAUAGUUA
rnacentral:misc_RNA from 1 species